rnacentral:rRNA from 1 species
UACGUAGGGUGCGAGCGUUAAUCGGAUUUACUGGGCGUAAAGCGCGUGUAGGCGGCAGGGCAAGUCUGGUGUGAAAGCCCGGGGCUCAACCCUGGAAGGGCACUGGAAACUGUCUGGCUUGAGUUCCGGAGAGGAGGGGGGAAUUCCCGGUGUAGCGGUGAAAUGCGUAGAUAUCGGGAGGAAUACCGGUGGCGAAGGCGCCCCUCUGGACGGGUACUGACGCUGAGGCGCGAAAGCGUGGGGAGCAAACAGG